CCCUAGCCCCGAUAGAAGCGAAAAUCCUUGUGGGCCUCGUCUUUUUCGGACGAGACACACAAGAUUGUAGCGGAUAGCGGGAAAUAGC
rfam:Flavobacterium sp. EM1308 contig00003, whole genome shotgun sequence.